rnacentral:lncRNA from 1 species
CCGAAGCAGAGAAGCUCCUGCCCCUGGCUUAAAAAUUGACUAUCCUGGCUAAAAACAAAAUAUUCCCUUUGCUUCUUCAGAGAAGAUUCAACAGGAAGGACAAUAGCAUCUAGUGCCUCCAUUGAGAUUUUUUAAAAAUAAACUUUUUAUUUUGGAAUAAUUUCACUUUUACAGAAAAUUUACAAAUUAAUACGAAGAGUUCUCAUGUUCCCCUCUCCUAGUUUUCCCUAUUGUUAACAUCUUACAUCACCACAGUACGUUCAGAAAAACUAAGGAACAAACAUUGACAGGUUACUAUUGUUAGUUAAACUCUAUAAUCUUUAUUCAGGUUUCACUAGCUUUUCCAUGAAUGUCCCUUUUUCGGUUCCAGGAUUUCAUCCAGCAUAUCAGAUUACAUUUAGUUGUUGUGUCUUCUUAGUUAUAAUUUUCCAGUCUUUCCUUAUUUUGAUACUUUGAUAAUUUUGAGAAGUAUUGGUCAGGUACUUUAUAUAAUGUCCCUCCAUUUGGGUUUGCAAAGUAUUUUUUUCAUGAUUACACUGGGGUUAUGGGUUUCUGGGAGGAAGACCACCAAGGUAAAGUGUCCUCUCAUCACAACCUGUGGGAUGUACCCAGGUGCUGUCCACAUGAUUUACCUGUGGUUCCACCAUGAUUUGAAGGCAGAGGGCAGGCUCUGAGAAGCCUCCUACAGGAUGAGGGUCUUGAUUCAGAGUCCUUCCCUCUGGAUGCACAAGACCAUGGAUUGCUGAUCAAGAAGGACCCUGCAAAGCUGGAGAUGGGGUGGAGUGGGGCAGUGCUGCACAUGGGAAGAGCAACAGACUAGAAGCCAGGUCUGUCUGGCACUAGUCCUGACUUCACCGCUUCUGAGCUGCGUGAUGUUGAGUGAGAGUCUUUAACCUCCCUGGCCUCAGUUUCCUCAUUCACCAAUCAGUAUGUAACCCCUUCCCCUCCCUUCCUUCUAGGGUUGGCAACUGGAUCAAAUGACAUUAGAUUUGAAAAGACUUUAAAAAGUAUAAAAGACAGUACAUAGAUGGGAAGUCAGUCUUUAAGCCUGCUUUGGAUUUUCCAGCAUUUCAGCUCCAGCAGGAGGAGAAAGAUUUACUUUCUAUUUACUUAUCACUGUUAACAAGCAAACACAUACAAGUCAUAUGGGUGUGUGUGUGUGUGUGUAAUCUUUUAACUUUUUUAAAAGUCUGAUUUAUUGAAAUAUAUUUACAUAUAGUAAAAUUCAUCCUUCUUAUGUGUACAGUUCUGAGUUUUGACAAAAAAUACAAUCAUGUAAUCCUUACCACAAUUAAGAUAGAGAACACGAGACAUAGAAUACUUCCAUGACCUCUUCACCCCCAAAUUCCCUCACACUUCUGUCAUCAACCCAUUCCCCUACUCUUAGCCCCUGGCAAUAUUGACCUGUUUUUUGUUCCUAUUUUCUACAAUGUCAUAUGAAUUGAAUCAUGUUGCCUUUAUUGUUUUUAGUUCUAAAAACAACAUUAUUGAGGUAUAACUGAUAUACAAUAAAAUGCACAUACAAAAGUAUACAACACGUAAGUCUUGGUUAUGUAUACAUUUGUGAUAUCAUCCCCACAAUCAGGACAGUGAACAUAUACCCAUCACCCUAAAAGUGUCCUCAACUUCUACUGUCACUGCUUUUCAGCAAACUGAUGGUUCUCUGCAUGUACUCUGAGGCACAGUGCUCACUCCCACUGUUAUGCCCUCCUUCAGGUGGCUUUCUUUCCCUUAAGCUACCACCUGGCCCUUUUGAUCUCUCCAAAUCCUGCCCAUCCUUCAAGUCUACGCUUUAGCCCUCCCCACCACCCAAUGUCUAAAGGGUCCUUUAAAGUUAUCCUUUGAGAAUAAUUCAGCCCACACUUGCUACUUCCUUCUCUACUCCUAAUGUACUUACAGACAACCUCUCAUUGUGGUCUUUCUUUAUAUAACAGUGUUUGUAUCUUACUGUCCUAAGGUGAGUGGCCCAGUGUUUAGCAGCAUGGUCUCUGGGGUUAGAUAGUUAGGUUCAUAUAGUUAACCUUAGGCUCCUGUUUAACCUCUGUCUCUGUGUCAUUUUUCCUUAUCUGUAAAAUUAGGAAGACAAUACAGUAUCUACCACAAAGGGUCUUGUGAGGAUUAAUUGGGUUUAUCUGCAUAAAGCACUUAGAAAAGAAUCUUGUUAUACAGUAAGCACUUAAUAAAUGUCCACUGGCUUCAUCAGUACCAUUACCGUUGAAAGCCUUUUAACAGCAAAAACUACAACUCUCACUGUGUCCACAGUAGUGGGCUUGUGGAUGGAGCUCAGAUAUUUGUUGGGCUUUUGAUCAAGGGACCAUUCCAGUGAAUCAGAAAGUUCCUGUGACCACUUAACAUAUUACACGCUUGCUUGUGUACUGCUCUUAGAUGAUAUAAAAACAAAUCAAAUUCCCAAACCAAAAAGCUGCACUCUUUUGUCUGGGUAAAUACAGCUAUGACAUGUCUAUUUCCAUGGUUUAGAAUAUCACCAGUGGGAAUCUACUGUGGAAAAUUGAGUACAACACUAUCAUCAUAUGAUUUGUUUUGCUCAUAUUUGGCUGUGCCAUUGGCUGCGGAGCCAGGCAGCGAACUCCACACAAUGAGGAGCCUGUGAAAACGCAGAGAAGGCAAGAAAGGAUGCAAACAUUUAGGCAGCAUCUGAUGGUAGCUGGCUUGUGGUUUACCUGGCCUUUGGUUAGAUAACUGUGCCUGAUCCCUAUGGCCAGGAAGGAAGACAGUGCUAAUGAAAAUGAAGAUCUGUACAACAAAAGUACAGGCCUACCUCAGAGAUAUUGGAGUGUUCAGUUCCAGACCACGCAAUAAAGUGAAUAUCACAAUGAAGAGCUGAAGAAUUCACAUUUGGGCUGAUGGGCCUGGGGUAGGGAUGACCAACAGACCACAUGCUUCUUGUCUCUUCUACUCCCUGAUCCUCUGAUAGACAGGGCUAAGUGAUCAUCCACUCCUUCCACCCUCCAGCCUCCGAGUGGGCCACUUUUCAAGCAUGGAAUUCCAGGUUCUGCACCCUCGGAUUCAACCAACCAAGGAUUGAAACUAUUUGAAGGAAAAGAACAAUAAUAAUACAAAUAAAAGCCAAUAACAAUAUAACAACUAUUUAUGUAGCAUUUACAUUGUAUUAGAUAUUAUAAAUAAUCUAGAGAUGAUUUAACGCACAUGAGAGCAUAUGCAUAGGUUAUAUGCAAAUAGUAUGUCAUUUUAUAUAAGGGAGUUGAGCAUCCACAGAUUUGGGUUUCUGCAGGGAGCCCUGGAAUCCUGUGGAUACCGAGGGACGAUUGUACAUUUUGAGAACCGAAGCCCGGUGCUACCCUGUUGCAGCGAUGAAGUAUCCAGGUCACCUGGAGAAAGCUGACAUAAGAGCAGGCACACAGCAGGAAGCUUUGAUCCUCAUCUUCUCUCUGGCUGCAGCCCUCAGCUCUUGUGCACCAACUCUGACCAAUGACUAGGACUGGCUGCUCGGAGUACAGCUGUAUUGAGAAAGAUUCUGAGGCUGGGUCUGCAUUCAGCAGGAAAAAAAAUGAA